GCUGAUGUGGAAAAUACUAAUCCAUGCAUUAUAAGAUCUGACAUGAGUCAGCAACGUCUGAACUGUCUCACACCCAUCAGGACAGGACAGGCAGCAUUCCAUUCCAUGUACCUGUAGGUUAGGUGAUACAAAAAGGAAGAUGUGGAUCACUAACAUAAAAAUUGAUUGGUCAAAAUGAGAAUGACAUGAUAAUGGGCCAAUGGGGAAAAGUAGGUGGGAGGUGGGUACACUCUAGACUGACAGCGAACCGAAUGACACAAACAUGAACGAGAUGCGGUGUAGACAAGAAUAACAUUUCUGUCUUCAGUGGCAAACAAAAAUCCACAAUCGAACUUGGAAAUGCCAAGCCUUCUGGAGCAACCUGAAAGUGUCGUGAUGGAUCACUUUCCUAAGAAGAGGCCCCUGUCUGAAGGGAGCGAUGUGAACUCUCCCAGCAACACAGACAGUUCUUCUGAUAGAUGCCCUCCUGAGGAGGACGUGCCUGCUACAUCAAACAUAUCCCAGAGUGAGGAGAACGAGAACCACCAAUGUAAGAAGAGGCACCUAUCGCUGUCUGAGGAUCCUGUGUACCAUGAGGAUGAUGUGAACCCCGACACAAACGUUUUUUCGAACGGAGGGCCUCCUGAGGAGGAUAUGGAUGCUACAUCAACCAGAUCCCACAGUGAGGGGAUUGAGAUCCACCAGAGAGGAAGCCCCAGUCCUGUGAACAUCAACUUUCCAGACCAGUCAAUGGACCUCCCAAAUCAAGAAGGAAACGAAUUAUGUGAUACAAUUUACCUUUUACAAACAAAAGUUUGCAAUCAAAAGAUGAAUGCUAAAUAUACAUGGGCAUUCUUAAAGUCAACUGCUGAUGUGUUUGUUGCAAUUUUGGAACCUAACAAUAUAGAGAAUAUGGAAAACAAACCUCUUAUUAGUCAUACCGAAGAGUUACUUCUUGAGGAAGUGAAAAUAACGUUGGAAAACAAAGAGCAAUUGCAAAAUACAAAAUGUUCUAUGUAUUCGCUCAACGCUCCUUCGCAAAUUACAGGUCAUACAAUAACGGAUUUAGCAGAACUGAACAAGUAUGGCAUAACAACGAUUUUUACGGACUGUCCGACGGAAAACCAAAACAUCCCAAAUCAUUUUGAAAACGUUCCUGAAUUUCUUGAUAAGUACUACUCAUUACAAACAAAAGGUUGCAAACAAAAGUUUGAUACGCAACAUGCAUGGGCAUUUAUCGAGUCACCUUGUGGCGGAGAACCGGUUUUUGUUGGUUUAUUUAAAUUAGAAGAUUGCAAGAAGAUGUGCAAGGGCAAACCUUUAAAUAUUCAUACCGAAAAGUUACUUCUUGAGGAAGUAAAACAAAUAUUGAAAAACAAUGAGAAAUUGCGGAAUACUAAACUGUUUAUCUAUACGCUCAACUCUCCUUGUUUGCAAAAUUCAGGUCAUGAGUCAUGCAUGGAUUUACUGAUUAAGGAUUCAGCAGAACUGUACAAAUCUUAUGGUAUAAAAACUAUUGUUGGAUAUAGCAAAUGGUACGGUUCGACUGGACAGGUGACAACCUUUAUAGAUCCAUAUAUCAGCUCAUUCAAUCACUUUAAUUUGAUCAUCAGUAGUUCUAAUUUUGAAAACUAUUGUGAUGAAUUUGU
rnacentral:lncRNA from 1 species